rnacentral:rRNA from 1 species
UAUCAGGCGUCGAGCGGCGGACGGGUGAGUAAUACUUAGGAAUCUACCUAGUAGUGGGGGAUAGCACGGGGAAACUCGUAUUAAUACCGCAUACGACCUACGGGAGAAAGGGGGCAGUUUACUGCUCUCGCUAUUAGAUGAGCCUAAGUCGGAUUAGCUAGAUGGUGGGGUAAAGGCCUACCAUGGCGACGAUCUGUAGCUGGUCUGAGAGGAUGAUCAGCCACACCGGGACUGAGACACGGCCCGGACUCCUACGGAAGGCAGCAGUGGGGAAUAUUGGACAAUGGGGGAAACCCUGAUCCAGCCAUGCCGCGUGUGUGAAGAAGGCCUUUUGGUUGUAAAGCACUUUAAGCAGUGAAGAAGACUCCGUGGUUAAUACCCACGGACGAUGACAUUAGCUGCAGAAUAAGCACCGGCUAACUCUGUGCCAGCAGCCGCGGUAAUACAGAGGGUGCAAGCGUUAAUCGGAAUUACUGGGCGUAAAGGGAGCGUAGGUGGCUCUAUAAGUCAGAUGUGAAAUCCCCGGGCUCAACCUGGGAACUGCAUCUGAAACUGUAGAGCUAGAGUAUGUGAGAGGAAGGUAGAAUUCCAGGUGUAGCGGUGAAAUGCGUAGAGAUCUGGAGGAAUACCGAUGGCGAAGGCAGCCUUCU